CAGCCGCCGCGGGAAUACGUAGGUGGCAAGCGUUGUCCGGAAUUAUUGGGCGUAAAGCGCGCGCAGGUGGUUUAAUAAGUCUGAUGUGAAAGCCCACGGCUCAACCCCGGAGCUGCUUUGGGAACUGUAGAACUGGAGUGUCGGAGGGGUAAGCGGAAUUCCCAGUGUAGCGGUGAAAUGCGUAGAUAUUGGGAGGAACACCGGCGGCGAAGGCGGCUUACUGGACGACAACUGACGUUGAGGCUCGAAGGCGUGGGUAGCAAACAGGAUUAGAUACCCGCGUAGUCCCUGUCUCUUAUAC
rnacentral:rRNA from 1 species